GUGGUGGUGUCGCUUGUUCAGCGCUUCUGGCGUGCAUUCUGGCGAUACCUUGUCGUUGUGGCUGGUUGGUACGUGAUUUUGACGUACCGGCUGGUGAGGGCUCCCUUUCGGUGAGGACAACGACAAAAUGACGCAAUACGACCCGUCUUGAAACACGGACCAAGGAGUCUAGCACGGCUGCGAGUCGAAGGGUGUAAAACCCAAGGGCGCAGUGAAAGCGAAUUUAUAAGCAAAUUGGGGAGGCGUGGAGUUUUUAACAAAAUGUCCUACCUUGAGCAUUUGUGCUGGGACCCGAAAGAUGGUGAACUAUGCCGGAGUAGGGCAAAGCCAGAGGAAACUCUGGUGGAGGCUCGUAGCGAUGCUGACGUGCAAAUCGCUCGUCGAACUUGGGUAUAGGGGCGAAAGACUAAUCGAACCAUCUAGUAGCUGGUUCCCUCCGAAGUUUCUCUCAGGAUAGCGGGCCGACAUAUGUUGUUUUGUGCGGUAAAGCGAAUGAUUAGUGCAUUUGGGGUCUGAUAGACUUCGGGCGAUUCUCAAACUUUAAAUGCGCAAGGGGGUGGCUGCUUAAUUGAGCCUACUCUUUGAAAAACGUCGGCCCUGUGGGCCACUUUUGGUAAGCAGAACUGGCGAUAAGGGAUGAACCUUAAGCGCGGUUAAGGCGCCGCAUUGCCCGCUUAUAGACCCCACAAAAGGUGUUGAUUCAUUUAGACAGCAGGACGGUGGCCAUGGAAGUCGGAAUCCGCUAAGGAGUGUGUAACAACUCACCUGCCGAAUGAAUUAGCCCUGAAAAUGGAUGGCGCUUAAGCGGGCAGCCGACACCGCGCCGUUCCGGCGAGACGAUGCCGGGAUGAGUAGGAGGGCGUGGCGGUCAGUGACGCAGGCGAGGGUGCAGACCCCGCUGAAACGGCCGCUAGUGCAGAUCUUGGUGGUAGUAGCAAAUAUUCAAGCGAGAUCCUUGAAGGGCGAAGCGGGGAAGGGUUCCACGCAAACAUUGAUUGGGCGUGGGUGAGUCGUUCCUAAGCCGAGUGGCAAUUGCUAAGUAGCGGCGAAAGGGAAGCGGGUUAAAAUUCCCGCACACGGAUAUGGAGGCGGCGACGCAAGCAGAGGCAAAUACGCUGGCGAGGGCGCUGGGCAGAGUUGUCUUUUCUGUUUGACCGGCAUCGCGCUGUGUGGAAUCCGCUUAUCGGGAGAAACACGCGCGGGGAGGGGCAGAGCGUCAGGUCUUUUCUGGCGUCCGGCUCGCCCUCGACGGCCCUUGAAAAUUUGCCCGCGAACUUAAAUUUCAUGCUGUGACGUACCGAUAACCGCAUCAGGUCCCCAAGGUGAACAGCCUCUGCUCAAUAUGAACAAUGCAGGUAAGGGAAGUCGGCAAAAUAGACCCGUAACUUUGGGAAAAGGGUUGGCUCUAGUGGAGCGGGGGUUUUCAAAGGGAGCUCACCUGUGCUUGGCGCAGGGCGGAUGUGGCUAGCUCACGCUGGACAUGCCUGCUCCGCAUCUUGCGCGGGGGACGUUUCUCGCCCUCAGCAUGCUCCAAACUAGAACUGCAACGGGCAAAGGGAAUCCGACUGUUUAAUUAAAACAAAGCAUGCGAAG
rnacentral:rRNA from 1 species